rnacentral:rRNA from 1 species
UACGUAGGUGGCAAGCGUUAUCCGGAUUUAUUGGGUGUGAAGGGCGUGUAGGCGGGAGCGCAAGUCAGAUGUGAAAACUCAGGGCUCAACCCUGAGCCUGCAUUUGAAACUGUGUUUCUUGAGUGCUGGAGAGGCAAUCGGAAUUCCGUGUGUAGCGGUGAAAUGCGUAGAUAUACGGAGGAACACCAGUGGCGAAGGCGGAUUGCUGGACAGUAACUGACGCUGAGGCGCGAAAGCGUGGGGAGCAAACAGG